rnacentral:rRNA from 1 species
UGCGCAGGCGGCGGUUCGCGUGGCGAGAUGAAAUCUCCUGGCUUACCUGGGAGGAUGGUCGCCAGACGGGAUCGCUUGAGGGUCGGAGAGGGGCGUGGAAUUCCGGGUGGAGCGGUGAAAUGCGUAGAGAUCCGGAGGAACACCGACGGCGUAGGCAGCGCCCUGGACGACACCUGACGCUGAGGCACGAAAGCUGGGGAGCAAACA